GAUUAACGCUGGCGGCGUGCCUAACACAUGCAAGUCGAACGAGGUAGCAAUACCUAGUGGCAGACGGGUGAGUAACGCGUGGUCAACCUACCCUCAAGUGGGGGAUAACUAGCCGAAAGGUUAGCUAAUACCGCAUGAAACAUAGCCGGGCAUCCGGUGAUGUUGAAAGGAGCAAUUCGCUCGAGGAUGGGACCGCGUCCGAUUAGCUAGUUGGUGAGGUAAUGGCUCACCAAGGCACCGAUCGGUAGCUGGUUUGAGAGAGCGACCAGCCACACUG
rnacentral:rRNA from 1 species